rnacentral:rRNA from 1 species
CCUACGGGAGGCAGCAGUGAGGAAUAUUGGUCAAUGGCCGUAAGGCUGAACCAGCCAAGUCGCGUGAAGGAAGAAGGAUCUAUGGUUUGUAAACUUCUUUUAUAGGGGAAUAAAGGUAUCCACGUGUGGAUAUUUGCAUGUACCCUAUGAAUAAGCAUCGGCUAACUCCGUGCCAGCAGCCGCGGUAAUACGGAGGGUGCGAGCGUUAUCCGGAUUUAUUGGGUUUAAAGGGUGCGUAGGUUGUUUUUUAAGUCAGCGGUGAAAGUUUGUGGCUCAACCAUAAAAUUGCCGUUGAAACUGGAAGACGUGAGUGUGUUUGAGGUAGGCGGAAUGCGUGGUGUAGCGGUGAAAUGCAUAGAUAUCACGCAGAACUCCGAUUGCGAAGGCAGCUUACUAAGCCAUAACUGACACUGAAGCACGAAAGCGUGGGGAUCAAACAGGAUUAGAUACCCUUGUAGUC